UGUUAAGCCACUUUCAAAAAGUUUUCGUCAUUACGCCACAUUUUUCGCCUGUGAAAUUGACAACACUGUAAUUUCGCCGUGGCUGUUAUGUUGUUUUUGUGGAAGGAAUGUGUUUACGCUAAGACCGAAAAUAUUUCGUCGGACGAGAAAAAAAACUUUUUAUCUCCAUAAACAGGAAAAAUCUUGAAAUUGUCGUGCAACGUCUAAGAUAAUGUCUAAGAUCAUUGUUUACACACCAGAUGCAACUGAUUAUAUCGAUGGCACAGAGUUCACUUUAAGUGCGUACGGUAUUAUAAACGAUAAAGAAGAUACCAAAUUAGUCAUCAGUAUGAAUUCUGACGGAUUGUGUAUCUCAGCAUUUGGGUCAUCGGUUCAAACUUGGAGAUAGAGAGUAUGGAGAUCAACGAUGUUCACAACCAUUGGAUUUGUCAGUGUCGUGUAUUAAGGAAACUUUUCUUGAUUGUUCUGUUCGGAACAGUGAACCUUUAAAUUUGAUAGUUGAAAAUUCACCCGCGAAAAUGAAUGAAAUUAUCAUUGGAUGUUUGGACGAAAAGAAAUUAACACCAACUAAUGUGGAAAAGCGAUUCAAAAGAUUUUCAGCUUACGAAAGGUCUUCACUCUAAUACUUGUAAGAUCCAUUCCUUCCAAGUUAAAGCGACAAGUCCUGUUACCGGUGCAUUUGAAUAACCUCAACCACUUGCCCAUGGAUCGCCAUGAAAGUUUCCAUGUAAUAAGAAAACAACAUGAGAAUGAAAAUCUAGUUUUCAACGAUGCACAACUUACGGAAUCGAACUUACAAUAUGAUGACGGUGGCGACGAAGACGAUGAGGAGCCACAAGGAGAUGUCGCUCUACUAAAUGAUUUCACAAUCUUCGAAUAUUUUGUGACGUAUCGCAAUCAAUCUGACGUCUACGAAGACCACUUCAAUGGUAAAAAGAAUAAUGUUAAAAUUUUUAUUCGUUUGAACUCGGUAUGAGAUCCACUGAAAUUCAAAUCUGUGGCUAUGUUUGAAUUUCGCUCUUCUUGCCCUGAAGAAAUAAAACGGAUUUGACAACUGAUAGCUCCAUUCCGCUGCCAUCUGAAAAACUGGAUCUGGAAUCAUUGAUGCCCUUCGUUGAGAAAAAGCGUUACUAUGAAGCACUGCUAAAGUCUCUAGUUAUUCCAAAACGAGAUAGAAAACUGACAUUAAAGAUGAUGAUUUUGAUAACGAUACUGAUGAUCAUUUGAAUGAGAAUUUGGAAUAGUGUGUUCAAUUAUUGUAGUAAAGAAAAUUAUUAU